rnacentral:rRNA from 1 species
UACGAAGGGGGCUAGCGUUGCUCGGAAUUACUGGGCGUAAAGCGCACGUAGGCGGCUUCUUAAGUCGGUGGUGAAAUCCUGGAGCUCAACUCCGGAACUGCCUUUGAUACUGGAAAGCUUGAGUUCGGGAGAGGUGAGUGGAACUGCGAGUGUAGAGGUGAAAUUCGUAGAUAUUCGCAAGAACACCAGUGGCGAAGGCGGCUCACUGGCCCGAUACUGACGCUGAGGUGCGAAAGCGUGGGGAGCAAACAGGG